rnacentral:tRNA from 1 species
UGGGGCGUCGCCAAGUGGUAAGGCAGCGGAUUUUGAUUCCGCGAUACGGAGGUUCGAAUCCUCCCGCCCCAGCCA